GGCCCAGUGGCAUACUGGAUAAGGCACCAGCCUUUGGAGCUGGGGAUUGUGGGUUCGAGUCCCACCUUGGUCA